ensembl:rRNA 5S_rRNA 5S ribosomal RNA
GAUGGCAGCCAUAUCACUCUGUAACUCACAACUGGCAACCCACUGAAGCUAAGCAGGUGUGAGCCUGGUCAGUACCUGGAUGGGAGACCUCCUGGGAAAAACUAAGGUUGCUGCUGGAA